GUCUACAACCAUGCCACCCUGAACAAGCCCUAUCCCAUCUGAUCUCUGAAGCUAAGCUGGGUCAGGCCUGGUUAGCACUAGGAUGGGAGACCACCUAGGAAAACCAGGUGCUGUAGGCG
ensembl:rRNA 5S_rRNA 5S ribosomal RNA